UACGGAGGGUGCGAGCGUUGUCCGGAAUCACUGGGCGUAAAGGGCGCGUAGGCGGCUUCUCAAGCGUGUGGUGAAAGUCCGGGGCUCAACCCCGGAUCGGCCGUGCGGACUGGGGAGCUCGAGUUCUGUAGAGGCGGGUGGAAUUCCGGGUGUAGCGGUGGAAUGCGUAGAGAUCCGGAAGAACAUCGGUGGCGAAGGCGGCCUGCUGGGCUCUUGCUGACACUGAGGCGCGACAGCGUGGGGAGCAAACAGG
rnacentral:rRNA from 1 species